rnacentral:lncRNA from 1 species
GGAGAGCCUUAAGGAGAGUGAACACCAGGAAAGCAGCAGGACCAGACUGCAUCUCGGGGGGAAUCCUCAGAGCCUGCGUAGACCAGCUAGCACCUGUAUUUACAGAGAUAUUCAACCUCUCUCUAUCUCAGUCGGUGAUCCCCACAUGCUUUAAGGAGUCCAUCAUUGUUCUGGUCCCAAAGAAACCCCAUCCUGCCUCCCUUAAUGACUACCGCCCUGUAGCCCUCACCUCAGUAUUGAUGAAGAUCUUUGAACGGCUUCCUCAUCUCUUCAUUACCGGACACACUCAACCCACUACAAUUUGCCCACUGACCCAAUCGAAGUACAGACGAUGCCAUCUCCUACAUACAGCACUCACCCACCUGGACACUCGGAAGGGAAAUUAUGUUAAAAUGCUUUUCAUUGACUAUAGUUCAGCAUUUAACACAAUAAUCCCUUCCACACUCACCACCAAGCUGGUGCACCUGGGACUCAGCUCACCUCUCUGUCAGUGGAUAUCCGACGUCCUAACCGGGAGACCACACGCAGUAAGGAUGGGCGAACAUGUCUCAGCCUCAAUCACUCUCAGCAUUGGAGCCCCCCAGGGCUGUGUUUUGAGCCCCCUGCUCUACUCCCUGUACACAUACGACCAUGCAGCCACUACAAACUCCACCAAUAUCAUCAAGUUUGCUGACGACACUGUCGUGGUGGGCCUGAUCUCUGACAAUGACGAGAUGGCCUACCUGGAGGAGAUUGGAAAUCUGGAAAAUUGGUGCCAGAGGAACAAUCUCCACCUAAACGUCAGCAAGACAAAGGAGUUAAUAGUAGACCAAGCAGGAGAGGACCUACCAGACCCCUGUCAUCAACAGGAGCCCUAUGGAGAGAGUGGACAGCUUCCGAUACCUCUGUGUUUACAUGACGCAGGACCGGUCAUGGUCCUGAAACAACAUCUGUGUAGUGUUGCGGCUUAUGCCAGUUUGAGUUUGCAUAGUAAGUCGGAGGGAACUUACCUGCCUCCUUGCGUCCCACCGCACCGGGAUUCCUUGUCUCCUCCUCAUGUUCUGGUUCUGUGGACCGUGACAGAAUGACUGAGCC